rfam:Triticum aestivum genome assembly, contig: Triticum_aestivum_CS42_TGACv1_scaffold_466010_5DS
GGAUGCGAUCAUACAAGCACUAAAGCACCGGAUCCCAUCAGAACUCCGAAGAUUAGCGUGCUUGGCCGAGAGUAGUACUAGGAUGGGUGACCUCCUGGGAAGUCCUCGGGUUGCAUUCC